CCCGCCAUGAGCACGACCUGUGUGAGAGCACAGGGUAUCUGGGCAGAAGGAAAACUAGGGGAGCCUCAUCCAGCGCUGGAGAUGGAGAAGCUUUGGGCUUCUCGACGGCGAGGCACCCGGGGAACGGGGAGUCACUUAGAACCUCAAAGUAGCCUCGGGCGAGAACAAGCGAAGCAAUUCCAAGCUCUACCAGGUCACGGAGGGCGCGAAACCCGCCCCGCGCUCCGGCCGGCCGGCAGGGGGCGCGCGCUCCCCGAACUCCCGCGCACCGCGGAGGAGGCGGCCCUGGCGCGGGGAAGCAGUGGGAAAAUCGCAAGGAAGCCGGCGGCUGUGGGGAGUUGAUUCGGAAGUGAAGGGCCCUGGGCGACCCGGCGAGUAGAGGCAACACCAACACUCCUCCUUAGCGAGGGGUCUCCCCGCCGCGGUGGCUGCCCGGCCCCAAGGACAGGAGGGAUUUGUGCACUGACUCCUGACCCCGUCCUCCAGCGCUGCUCUGAAGGGAGAGUCUGUGCAGUGGCACCUGCGCGAAGCUGGCCAAAGCCUGCCCAGACGGCUCACCUGUGCGGGAUGGAACAAAAGAAUUUCGCUCUUGUUGCCCACUGUUGUCCAGGCUGGAGUGCAAUGGCACGAUCUCAGCUCACCACAACCUCCGCCUCCUGGGUUCAAGUGAUUCUCCUACCUCAGCCUCCUGAGUAGCUGGGAUUACAGGUCGGCUUGAGGUUUGCGAGUCCCAGCUCCCACUGCCCCUGCCACCUGCCUUUCCCUUCUCAGGACAUACACAGGACUGGGAGAAAAUAGACUAAGGGUAUGGCACUGUCAGCGGAAGACUGUCAGAUCUCUGCAGCAUGACCCUCAUCCUUGUUCCCAACCUUUUCUGUCAGUCACUGUCUGCCUCCCUUUCUUUGGUUGGCUGCCCAUCAAUGACCUAUUAUCAUCAUUGCCAUAGAUCCCUGAGAAGCACUCCCCCUCCCACAGUUGCCAUUCCAAUCUUGCUACACAGUAUAAGAGCCCUCUUGGCUUCUGAGGGUUAAAUGUUGCCAUCCAGAAUGGUUAAAUGCCAUUCCAGAAUCGUGUCAUCCCCAAGACACUAAGGAGCCAAGUUCCAUGGCAGCAUCUCCUAGCCACAGAGCACAGCCACCACCAGCUUUCUAUGACACCAGUGCCCCCUCACGUCCACAUUCUGCAUUGCCUUAGUGAAGAGCGCCUCCUCUGGGCAGCUCCAUGAAACACCUUCUGGUCUCAUGUAAUAAAUCCGUUCUAACAUUCCCACUUCCCUGAGCCUUCAUCUCUACCUCAUUAAUGGUAGGCCACUAUGGUGUCCAAGCUUCCGGGAGCCGUCUGGCGUGAAGACAAGCUCCAGCUGUCCUUUGACAGGACUUUAAAUCCUGAGUCUUGGGGCAUGCACCCUUGUCAAUCAAUGCCCCACCGGUCUUCUAUUGCCCCCUCCCCGCCUGGAUCUGGUACCCCACCUGGAUCUGGUACCCUCAUGAUCGCUCCCGCAAGUGUUCUCCCAGGUCCUGCAACUUUUUGGGUGACUGAGUGAUUUCCUCCUAGGGUAGGAAAUAUUUCACUGCUUGGGCUAUGCUGAGAUGUGAUCCUGCUUGUUGGUCUGGAGGCAAUGAGAGGAGGUGGAUCUUGAGGAGGAUUAGUGUUAUCUUACAGGGUACUCACCUGUAACGGGGAGAUCUCUGCACUGUCUCCAGGCUAGAUGAAGCUGUCCUCCUCUGUCAAUGGGAAGAAGGCAGUUUCUGCUGGCCAGGAUGCUUCAGGGGACUCUGGGGGCUCAAGGUUCUUUGGUACAUCCACCCAAACAUCCCACGUCAGGCCUAGAGUCCCAUUUAUUCCUUUAAAAGCACCCAAUGGGCCGGUUACUGUGGCUCAUGUCUGUAAUCCCAGAAGUUUGUGAGGCCAUGGCAGGUGGAUCAGUUGAGGCCAGGAGUUCGAAACCAGCCUGAGGAACAUAGCAAGAUCCCCGUCUCUACAAAAAUAAAAAUAAUAGAAGCCCCCACUUUAGUACAGGAGACCUGCUGAGGAUGCACAAGUGUCUUUUGCAGCUCUGCUGCUCUUGUGAUGAAAUAUUGGUUCUCAUUUUCAGCAUGCUCUGCCUCCUGGCCACGGAAGCAAGGUUUUCUUUACAUGUUGUCUUGGGAGAGUUCCUGCCUUUCACAGCAUACUCUGAGUAGAUAGCAGGCUGAACUGCAUCUUUCAUUCUCUUGCUUCAAAGCUGCUAAGGUGAUUUAGAAAAGCUAGCCACCUCCAUAAUCCUUGCAACAGCAGCUGCUUCCACAUCUUUCAAGUGACAAAGCUACUGCAUAAGCCAAGCUUUCUCUUCAACUUCUAUCUCCUUAUCUACCACAGGUAAGAGUCUCAUGCUUCAGGACACAAGGUUAUCACCAACUGUGUGUGUGUGUGUGUGUGUGUCUUUGUUGCCUUCCGAAUGGUAAGUGAUCUACUUUUAGAUUCCUAUCGCUAGGUCUGUCUUCUAGUGCUACCUCUAUUACUCAUUGCCUUAGCUUGAAUCCUCACAAAAACAGAGCUUGAUCCUGGAACUUCGGCAUAGUUAACUUGGGACAUUCCAGGAAACUGUAAUCCAUGUAAUUCCAUGCCUAUAAUCCCAGCACUCUGGGGGCCAAGGUGGGUGAAUCAGUUGAGGCCAGGAGUUUGAGACCAGCCUGGUCAACAUGGGGAGAGAGAUUGGGAAGAGUGACCCAGGGUACAGAACCAUGAGCCACAGCUGCAGCUUCAGUCAGAGCAGGGCUGACCAGAUAUAACCAGAAGUCCCAACAGCAUCCUGGACACCUCUCCUGCCUCCUAAGGGUGCAGAAAUCUGUGACAAUGGCUAAGCAGUAUCUGCUCCUCUGGAUUCAGGUGCCUAUCUCUUGUGGAGCUUUGUUCAUUCUAGAAGUACUUGGAGAGGUCCAAGCAUCGUGCCUCACGCCUGUAAUCCCAGCACUUUGGUGGCCAAGGUGGGCGGAUCAGUUGAGGUCAGGAGUUUGAGACCAGCCCGGUCAACAUGGCAAAACCCCACCUCUGCUAAAAACACAAAAAUUAGCCAAUCGUGGUCGUGCAGACCUGUAAUCCUAGCUACUUGGGAGGCUGAGGUAGGAGAAUCACUUGAACUCGGGAGGCAGAGGUUGCAGUAAGCCGAGAUUGCGCCACUGCACUCCAGCUUGGGCAACAGAGUGAGACUACGUCUCAAAGAAAAAAUAGGCUGGGCGCGGUGGCUCACGCCGGUAAUCCCAGCACUUUGGGAGGCUGAGACGGGUGGAUUAUGAGGUCAGGAGUUCGAGACCAGCCUGACCAAUAUGGUGAAACCCCGUCUCUACUAAAAAUACAAAAAUUAGUCCAGCAUGGUAGUGUGUGCCUGCAGUCCCAGAUACUUGGGAGGCUGAGGCAGGAGAAUAGCUUGAACCUGGGAGGCGAAGGUUGGAGUGAGCUGAAAUUGUGCCACUGCACUCCAGCCUGGGCGACAAAGUGAGACUCCAUCUCAAAAUAAAUAAAAAAAUAAAAAUAAAAAUAGCAAUACAACUAUUUGGAGAGGGCCAAAUAAGUGGGGAGCACUUCUCCACACUGAGAUACAGGCGGGAACAGAACAACAAACCCCAUAGAGCUUAUGUUUUAGUUGGAGGAGACUAAGAAUAAAUACAAUAUGUAGUAGGUCAAGUGUUAAUGGGUGCUAGAAACAAGAAGUGGGGGCCAGGCACGGUGGCUCACACCUGUAAUCCCAGUACUCUGGGAGGUCGAGGUGGGUGGAUCACCUGAGAUAAGGGGUUCAAAACCAGCCUGGCCAACAUGGUGAAACCCCAUCUCUACCAAAAAUACAAAAAUCAGCUGGGCAUGGUGGCGGACACCUGUAAUCCCAGCUAGUCAGGAGGCUGAGGCAGGAGAAUUGCUG
rnacentral:lncRNA from 1 species